UACGUAGGGUGCGAGCGUUGUCCGGAAUUAUUGGGCGUAAAGAGCUCGUAGGCGGUGUGUCACGUCGGCCGUGAAAACCUGCAGCUUAGCUGUGGGCGUGCGGUCGAUACGGGCAUCACUGGAGUUCGGCAGGGGAGACUGGAAUUCCUGGUGUAGCGGUGAAAUGCGCAGAUAUCAGGAGGAACACCCAUAGCGAAGGCAGCUUGCUGGGACGUUACUGACGCUAAGGCGCGAAAGCGUGGGGAGCGAACAGG
rnacentral:rRNA from 1 species